GGGGAUGUGGUUCAGCGGUAGAGCACUUGCCUAGAAUGGGCAAGGCCCUGGGUUUGAUCCCUAGCACUACCA
rnacentral:tRNA from 1 species